GGGACGAGGAAACACGCAGCAGCAUUACUAGUUGGGUCCGGACCGCCGGGUCAGGACACCGACAUUACUGCAAUCACCCAAAAUGCAGAUUCAAGGGUAGAUGUGAGACCAAUUAUGGAACAAUAGGGUUCUGGACUCAUAUGAAGGUAGCACAUUGUGUAGUGAAGAAUCAGCCGCAGCUAACAGUUGCAAAAGAUGUUAAAGCUGUGAUACCAUACAGAAGAAGGUUGGUUCCAUUGUUGGUGACCUUGAAGUGAUUGAGGCCCUUGUUUCGAAGCUUCAUCUUGAGGAUGACGAUGUUGCAGACAGUGAUGGAGAAAUGAAUGGGCAAGCCGAUGAUUUCUAGAGUUUGGAAGUUGCGAAAUUAGACUUGUUUGGUGAAUGGUUAAUUGGUCAUGAUACUGCUGCCCAUUGUGGCAUUUAUCUUUAAAUUUGGACUUGUGAACUGCUGCCCGUCGUGGCAUUUAUCUUUAAAUUUGGACUUGUGAACUGCUGCCCAUGGUGUUGUGGCAUUCAUUUUUAA